AAGAAAUAAAGGAUCAAGCUCAAGGUCAGGGUCAAGGUCCACAAAUGGAGGUAGAAGAGGAUCAUUGGAGGAAUUGAAUGGCCUUUGUAAGCAACUAAGUCCUCAACAUUGAAAGUAGAGUGAAAACCAAAAUGCGAUGGAAGAUCAUUGACAUAGG